UGCAUCUGUGGCCGAGGGGCCGAAGGCAGCGGACUCAUAAUCCGCUAUUCUGUAAGAAACAUCGCUGGUUCGAAUCCAGCCAGAUGCAA
rnacentral:tRNA from 1 species